AUUGAACGCUGGCGGCAUGCUUUACACAUGCAAGUCGAACGGUAACAGGUUAAGCUGACGAGUGGCGAACGGGUGAGUAAUGCAUCGGAACGUGCCCGAUCGUGGGGGAUAACGUAGCGAAAGUUACGCUAAUACCGCAUACGAUCUGAGGAUGAAAGCGGGGGACCGUAAGGCCUCGCGCGAUCGGAACGGCCGAUGUCAGAUUAGGUAGUUGGUGGGGUAAAGGCCCACCAAGCCGACGAUCGGUAGCUGGUCUGAGAGGACGACCAGCCACACUGGGACUGAGACACGGCCCAGACUCCUACGGGAGGCAGCAGUGGGGAAUUUUGGACAAUGGGCGCAAGCCUGAUCCAGCAAUGCCGCGUGCAGGAAGAAGGCCUUCGGGUUGUAAACUGCUUUUGUACGGAGCGAAAAGGCUCUCUCUAAUACAGGGGGCUCAUGACGGUACCGUAAGAAUAAGCACCGGCUAACUACGUGCCAGCAGCCGCGGUAAAAC
rnacentral:rRNA from 1 species